UAUUUACUACAUUAAAAAAAAAAAAAAGGCGAACAGGCAAACAAACCCUGGUGAAUCCUGAAUUCAUGUAUCAAUGUGAAACUAUUACGACUCUGUUGGACUUGACUUGUCCUCGAUUCCUCAGGAAUAAUCAGUUUUAGAGGGUCCGGGGAGAACCCUGACUGUUGGAGAUUUUCUUUGUCUGUUUCCGUCAGCUGUAUCAGAUAGGAGUUAGGUUAAAAGUGAAACAUGACAUUCUGACAGUGAAUCCGGCCGACAGAUUCUUGGCUGCGCUCUCAGCUGCACUUGAACUUCUGCUAAGCAUGUGUUGAAAGAGCGCUUUCAACUGCACCAGCUGUGGAGAGGUUAAUAAAACAAAAGAGGAGAAACAAAAGUGCUCACUGCAGAAAGCUUCUGACUCUGCCGAUUCUUCUGGUUACAAACAAGAUGUCCUAGAGCUGUAACUGCUACCGCGUUUUGGCCUUGGAACCGUUUUAAGCAAGUUGAGCUUCUGAGUUAAAGGUUGAAGGCUGAUAAAUAAGUCACACAUCAAAAUGUAAUUUUACCUCUUCUGACCUGGGAACUUGGAAGUCCUUACUUUGCCAUGGGCAAGUGGUAAUUAGGAAAAUUGUGUUUACUUUAUCGACAACUUAGGUAGCUCCUCCUGCAGACAGAAAACUGCACGGGCUCUCUGAUUCUCAAGAUACGUGGAAGUCAAGGUGGUCUUGUCUUCCGGGCUGGGAGUAGGGACUUGUGUUUUCUGUCCCUCUUCCUGUGUUCCACUGCUCCAGGAGAGCUCCAUGUAAUGUGGAGCCUUGCCCAGCCUGCCUCUCAGGAGAGGAUUUUGCAAUCCUGUCUUGCGCAGAGAAGGUCAAUUGCUGACCCACGGAGCAUUUAAACUGGAAGAAUUAAACAAUACCCGGGAGACUGACUGCAGAGGAUAUUUCUUUAAAAGGUAGAGUAUGGUGUGCAGGACAGGAGGGCUAUCCACAACCUCCGUGAAUCCUCCAGAGGCCCUCUGCUCCCCAUAGCUGAGGUCCAACACUCAACAGUGCUGGGUCACCUCUGCUAUAUUAUUGUCCUGGCAUGAGCUGAAGGCAGAUGGGCUAAGGAGUCCAAUCGCUUCACACAACAGUAAGGCUUCCAUCAGGAGGAGGGACAUAAAACCAAUCUUUUACUGCCAGCUUCACUCCUGGCCAUCAAACUGGAGGGCUGUGAUGUAGAAAGCAGCAAAACUAUUUUCCUUUUGGGAAACUGUUGAAAGAAUAUAUGUGGACUGGAACUGAAUGAAGCAGAAAUGGAAAGGAGACAAUUCUGAGACUUUCUCCUCAGGCUUCCUGGGGAUUCACAGCCCCGUUGGAGCAUCUAUCCUCCUGCUGGAACAUUGCGCUUGGCUUCAUGACUUGGUUCGGCUAUUGGGAUGCUAUUGAACAUGAUGGGAGCAGAAGCUUCAAAUAUGGAUGCACAGUUGGACCGGUCUUCUGAACUCCUAUCUUUAGCCACAAGAAGACCAUGCCUUGAAUAACCCUUGUUCCAAGGAAGAUGAAAGACAUGAGUUGCCGAUCUGGAUUCAACCCACGGCUGGGAGCAGGCCUAGCCAAGCCCAGACUGUAUCAGCCAAACCUCAGCAAAGUGAGAAAUAAAGGCUUCUUGUGGCAUGUCACUGAAAUUAUGUGGUUGUUGUGGCAAUAGCAGACUGCUACAACAUUGAGCGUCCUGUUAUCGAAGAGUGCUCCCUUGUCAAUAAAUGUUUCUGACCAACC